AAACUUUGCAAUGUGCGCAAGCACGACAAGGUUAAUCCGAGUGUUUCCUGCUAAAGGAAUCUUUUGCUAGUCCUAAAAACACUAGCGAAUAAGGGGUGGGCAAGUUCUGGUGUCAGCCGCCGCGGUAAAACCAGCACCUCAAGUGGUCAGGAGGAUUAUUGGGCCUAAAGCAUCCGUAGCCUGCUCUGUAAGUUUCCGGUUAAAUCCAUUAGCUUAACUGAUGGGCCGCCGGAAAAACUGCAAAGCUAGGGAGUGGGAGAGGUAGACGGUACUCGGUAGGAAGGGGUAAAAUCCUUUGAUCUAUUGAUGACCACCUGUGGCGAAGGCGGUCUACCAGAACACGUUCGACGGUGAGGGAUGAAAGCUGGGGGAGCAAACCGGAUUAGAUACCCGGGUAGUCCCAGCUGUAAACGAUGCAGACUCGGUGAUGCCCUGGCUUGUGGCCAGUGCAGUGCCGCAGGGAAGCCGUUAAGUUUGCCGCCUGGGAAGUACGUACGCAAGUAUGAAACUUAAAGGAAUUGGCGGGGGAGCAC
rnacentral:rRNA from 1 species